CAGCUGGUAGUGUAGUGGCUUGAGCCUUGGCCUUUUGAUACAAAGGUCAUGGGAUCCAAACCCACCUCCAGCUGU
rnacentral:tRNA from 1 species